UUGAACGCUGGCGGUAUGCUUAACACAUGCAAGUCGAACGGAAACGAUACUAGCUUGCUAGUAGGCGUCGAGUGGCGGACGGGUGAGUAACGCGUAGGAAUCUGCCUGAUAGUGGGGGAUAGCCCGAAGAAAUUCGGAUUAAUACCGCAUAAUCUAUUCGUAGUAAAGUGGGGGACUUUCGAGCCUCACGCUAUCAGAUGAGCCUGCGUAAGAUUAGUUUGUUGGUGGGGUAAAAGCCCACCAAGGCGACGAUCUUUAGCUGGUCUGAGAGGAUGAUCAGCCACAUCGGGACUGAGACACGGCCCGAACUCCUACGGGAGGCAGCAGUGGGGAAUAUUGGACAAUGGGGGCAACCCUGAUCCAGCAAUACCGCGUGUGUGAAGAAGGCCUGAGGGUUGUAAAGCACUUUCAAUUGUGAAGAAAAGUUAGCGGUUAAUAACCGUUAGCCUUGACGUUAACUUUAGAAGAAGCACCGGCUAACUCCGUGCCAGCAGCCGCGGUAAUACGGAGGGUGCAAGCGUUAAUCGGAAUUACUGGGCGUAAAGCGUGCGUAGGCGGUUUAUUAAGUCAGAUGUGAAAGCCCCGGGCUUAACCUGGGAACUGCAUUUGAAACUGGUCAACUAGAGUAUGGUAGAGGAAAGUGGAAUUUCUGGUGUAGCGGUGAAAUGCGUAGAUAUCAGAAGGAACAUCAAUGGCGAAGGCAGCUUUCUGGACCAAUACUGACGCUGAGGUACGAAAGCGUGGGUAGCAAACAGGAUUAGAUACCCUGGUAGUCCACGCCGUAAACGAUGAUAACUAGCCGUUGGGGGGAUUUACCCUUUAGUGGCGAAGCUAACGCGUUAAGUUAUCCGCCUGGGGAGUACGGCCGCAAGGUUAAAACUCAAAGGAAUUGACGGGGACCCGCACAAGCGGUGGAGCAUGUGGUUUAAUUCGAUGCAACGCGAAGAACCUUACCUGGUCUUGACAUCCUGCGAACUUUCUAGAAAUAGAUUGGUGCCUUCGGGAACGCAGUGACAGGUGCUGCAUGGCUGUCGUCAGCUCGUGUCGUGAGAUGUUGGGUUAAGUCCCGUAACGAGCGCAACCCCUAUCCUUAUUUGCCAGCACAUCAUGGUGGGAACUAUAAGGAGACUGCCGGUGAUAAACCGGAGGAAGGCGGGGACGACGUCAAGUCAUCAUGGCCCUUACGACCAGGGCUACACACGUGCUACAAUGGGAAGGACAAAGAGCCGCGAAGCCGCGAGGUGUAGCUAAUCUCAUAAACCUUUUCGUAGUCCGGAUUGGAGUCUGCAACUCGACUCCAUGAAGUCGGAAUCGCUAGUAAUCGUAGAUCAGAAUGCUACGGUGAAUACGUUCCCGGGUCUUGUACACACCGCC
rnacentral:rRNA from 1 species